rnacentral:lncRNA from 1 species
GCUCUGGCCGCCCUGCCCUGCCAGCCCUGCCCGCCUGGAUUCAGCUGCCAGCAGGGUGAGUCCCGGAAGCAGGAGGAGGCUUGGGCCUCAUGUGGGAACUGGGCUGAGCCUGGGGAGGUGCACCGAGGUGGCAGGCAGGAGACCGCAUGGGAACCUAUGGGGACGGGCCUGCAAUUUUUCUCAGUGGGACCGGCCAUCCGAUAGAGACCUUCGGAAGGGUGAUUCAGGGCAGGGACAGAGAGUUACCACAGCCAGCCCUGCCCAGUGGGCCACUACUGUCCUGCAGGGACUCGCAGCCCCAGGCCCUGCCCAUCUGGGACCUUUAGGAGCCUCAGCGGGGCAGGGGCAGCCGGAGACUGUGUGCACUGCCCUGCAGACACCUUCAGUGCCCAGCCAGGCCAGGCGGGCUGCCUGCCCUGCGGGAGCUCAUCCUUCUCUCCACCAGGUAAGUCUCAUGCGCGCCCCACCAGCUGCCCUGGUCUGCGGACCUCGGCUCCAAAUCCAGCAGGCCUCCGGUUCCCUGUGGCUCUGAGCGUCAACAGUGCACAGUUUCAGGAAAUCACUGUAUCGCUGAGUGUAGCUGUUUUACGAAAGCUGCGGUACGGCCCAGUGUGGUGGGUGUGGACGACAUGGGUCUUGGCAGUGGCCUCAAC